UUUUGAAGUGGGAGGGGAUGAUGUGAUCAUGGAAAGCACCAAGGAAUGGAAUCAUGAACCUGAUCAUGGAGAACUUGUAGCUGUGGAAGAACCUACACUUGAAGAAUGUUUGAGCCGAAAUAAAGCUUCUAUCAUCAGAGACAACUUGAUCUACAUUCAAGCUACUCUACACUCAAGCUGAUCAUCAUCUAGGCAAGUAGCUUGUGUGUACUCUUUUUCCCUUGAUUGGUUUUGUCCCACUGGGUUUUCCAAUCAAGGUUUUUAAUGAGGCCACAAGUUACUUCUCUUACCUCCUAGAUGAUUGAUCUUGGUCUGUCCACAUGAAGACCUUAUCUUAUAUUUUAAGCUAUGCUUUUAUGUUAUUUAGUUUUCGAAAAAACUCUAGUCUUUGUUGUGUUUCCAAGGGAGCUUUUGUCUUUAUUUUCCUUGUAUUUUCGAGACCUUGUGCAUGUACAAGGCUUCUCCUUUAUAUUCUGGUCGUGGCCCCUUGUAUCAGCAUCCAUCUUUUUAUCAAAAACCUUUGUUUUCUCUUUUCUUCUUGCUUGUCGAGUUGAGUGAGUGUUGGUGUGUAAUAUCCAACUUCUGGUGUGUAAUAUCCAGAGACUAAGGGCUCUAGUUUGGUGUGUCAUAUCCGAUCUAUUGCCUAGGAGUAUCAAGGAGCCUUUCCGCAGCCUUUUGUGUCACCAUUCGAUCCACAUACCUUGAGAAACUUGAGUCUUUUGAUUCGUUUCUGCAAGGAUUAUCCCAUCUGUUCCAGAGCAUCAUCCUAGGAUCUCAUCAAGGAUGAAUCACUUUGUGAGAAGCUUGAUUUGGAUACAUAAAGUGGUGGAGAAUCACCAGGAAUUUGAAUAAAUCUCAUAGGAGUUGGGAUGAAGAAGUUAUUCAACUUUCAAAUCAGGUGAUUCCAGUUUCCCAGUUUGGGAAUAGCACAGCUUCUUCGUCGUUCCAAUCAAACCAGGAUGAAUCACUUUGUGAGAAGCUUUAUUUGGAUACAUAAAGUGGUGGAGAAUCACCAGGAAGUUUCGUUUUUGUGUUAAAAACUCUUCAUAUACCUUGCUGAGAAAGUUUUCUGAUUUACUUGAUCAAUCUGUUUCUGUUUCUGAAAUUUCGAAUUGUUUCUGUCUUGAUCUACUCUGUUUUGAUUAAACUUGAUGUACUAGACUUGAAAGUGAACCUGAAAUCAAAAUCUCUCUGUUCUGUUUCGAAAUCAAUCUGAUCUGUUAGGUUUGGGAUUUAUCAGUUCUGUUCAGAUUAGUUUUGAUCUGUUUUAAAUCAUUGGUUGAGUUUUUAAUUUGUUCUGAGAAUUGUCUAAGGUUUUAAGCUUCAGUUUGAAUCUGUUUCUGGUUUUGCAAAUUGAUUUUUGUUUUCUCUGUAGAACUUGUUACUGCUGUGUGUUGUUUUCUGUCUCAGGUACUAUGGCAGGAGAUCAGAACGGAAAGCUCACUAAGGAAGAAAGGCUGUUACUUAAAUCUAUGAAUGCUCAUCUGCAGCAGAUGAUGGAUAACAACAUGGGUGAAUUUCAAAAGGAGCUUAGACAAAAGUUUCUGCAGCAAACUGAUGAUCUUAGGCAGAAAAAUAAAAAGAGAAUGGACAGUCAAAAGCUUGAGCCAAGAUCACCCGAUUCUGUUCAAAACAAGUCAAGCAAGCAUAAGUGGUAUAAGGAAGAGGAAGCAGGACGUGGACAACAGUCUUACAAACAGACAGGCCACACUUCGAGCAGACCACAUCAAGCUUCUCGCACUCCUAAAUCAAAUAUUCAUUCUUCUUACAAUCAAAUUGUCACUAAGCCUCAACUUUAUGUUUUUACAGGGGAAGGUGAUUAUUUAAAGUGGGAAAGAACAAUGGAGAAGUGGCUUUGCUACAACAAAAUCCUGAAGAGAGAAGCAUUGGCUUAUGUGAUGUCUCAGCUCAAAGGAAACGUUUUUAAGUGGUUGUUGCAAGAAGAAGAUGAUCGCAGGUACUACAAGGAACCAGCUAUCACCACUUGGGAAGAUCUGAAGUUGCUACUAAGGAAGAAGUAUGCAUCCAAAGGCCACACUUCUCUGAAAUCUCCAAAGAAGAAAGUCAUAUCCGCAACAGACUUCAAAAGUGAAAAAUCAGAAACCAAGAUGGCUGAUUAUGAGAAAGAAAUCAGCAGCCUUGUUAAGGAGAUUCUUAAGACCAGCAAGCACUUGGACAAGCAGAAGAAGCUCCCAAAGAAUCAAGAACCAGUUGCUACUGUCUCAGAACUCAAUGAUGCAGAACCAGACUCAGCUGCCCCAAUUCAAGAAGCUCAAACCAAAACAUCUAUGGGAAAAGGAAAGUUUGAGAAAGAACAAGAGUUUUCUCUGUUCUUACCUCACUCUGAAUCUAAUUUUGAUAAUUCCUUUGAUGAACUAACUUGUCUUGAACCGGUGCAACCGAGUAGAAUUGUUUCAGUGUCACAGGUUGCAAAAGAAGACUCAGCAGAAAAAGAACCAGAGAGUACAACACAAGAGGAACAACAGAAAAACUUGCAGACAGAAUCAGCUCAUGAAUCUUUGUCUUAUGAUCUGCAAGAGCACUGUAAGGAGUUUAAUAUGGUUGCUUCUGUGCCUAGAAUGUUUGUUAAAGUGAGUACUGAAGACAUAAAACGUUUUGGUCUUGAUAAAGUAAAAGAUUUUUGUGUUUCAAAUUCUGUUUUUGAUAACAUGUUUAAAUCUUUUAAAGAACUUAAACCAGAAAUCAUCUUUGAUCAAAAACGUUUUCAAAAUCAAAAUAAUAACAUUUCUGGUCAUAUUCUGAGUUUUGAUCAUUUUCUGAAACAUGGGAAAAGUUUUGAUCAUUUUGAAAAGGUUUUAGAGCUUGAAUUGAAACAAUCUGAUUUCUGUUUGAAACCUUGUGAUUCAUUUGUUAGAACUGAAGAAAGAAGUUUUGUUACGAACUUCCAUGUGCAUAAACUGAUCCUUGAUAAUUCUUUUGUUUCUGCUUAUGAAUUGAAUGAACCUAAGAAGUUGCAGGAACCGAAAUUGCAUAAAUCUGAUUUUAGAUUUAAAUUUGUGAAAUCUGCAAAGUUCUCUAAGUUUGAGCUUGAUAAUGAUUCUAAACAUGUAGGUUGGUUCUUUGAUGAUAUUCUAGUGUAUAACACUCUCUUUGAUAAACCUGCUGCACAAUUGAAACUAGAUAUCACUGAUUCUGAAUGUGUGAACUUGAACCUUAAUGAUAUUUGGGUCUACAAUACUUCCUUUGAUAUGAUAACACACUUGACUUGUCCAAAAAGAGCUGAGAAGUGUACAGGUAAAAAGAGGGGCUAUACUGAUGAGUCCUUGGCUAAGCUGGAGAUGCAACAAUCAAAUCUUGGAAGCUGUCUAGCCGCCAACUCUGACAUAGGAGCAGUCCGAGGAUCAUAUCUCAGCAACCAGAAGGAAUUAAGCAACAAACUCAACUGCAAUGGAAACUACACUCAUCAGGGUCUCACGUCGAACUGGAAUCAUGUCCAAAGCUUCUCAAAUGAAAGAGUUAUGGGUUCUACAAGACGGGUGAUUCUGUGUUUGCUUUGUCUGAACUUUUCUAAGUGUAGAACAUCUCAAUCCUAUCUAUGGCGACCAGGUGAGCAUGCUAAGGUAACUAAUCAUGUUUUCAAGAGUUCUUUUAUUGAUUACACAGAUAUGAUGCACUUGUUUUUGCCAAAAGAGUCAUGUGCAGAUUAUAUGGAAGCUUUGAAGAAUGCAAAGAGAAAGAACAAGCGUGAGGAAGACAAACGUUUCAAGCUGCCUGAUCUAAGCCAGGAGAGACAUCAUGACGUCACUUGCUUCAUCCUCAUCAAAGAAGCACCUCCAGAUGCAGCAUACAAGCCAAAACCGAUAAAAUACAACUUUGGGAUAAUACUCUUACUCUAUGAUGUUUUUGCUUGUGUUCACUUAUCUUGUUUCAAUGUAUCAGGUUUAAGUAAUGCCUCAGGAGUAAGGAGAGCCAAAUGGAUCAGUCCCUUCUAUAUAAUAGAACCAGUCAGCGACAAUGCCUAUCAAAGAGGCUUGCAAGGUAAGUGUAAUCUGAUUAUAAACUCUGAUGUUACUGACUUGGUCCCUUCUAUUGCAGGUAACACAGAUUUGAGGACAAAUCUUUUUGAAGUGGGAGGGGAUGAUAUGAUCAUGGAAAGCACCAAGGACUGGAAGCAUGAACCUGAACCUGAAGAGCUUGUAGCUGAGGAUGCAACCUUGAAGAACAUUUGGAAACAAGAAGAAUACAUUAGUCUUGGCCGAAGCUUGAUCAUCCAAGACACCUUAACCAUCAUUCAAGCUACUCCACCUUCAAGCUGAUCAUCAUCUAGGCAAGUAGCUUGUGUGUGCUCUUUUCCUAACCUUUGGUUUUGUCCCACUGGGUUUUCCAAAGGAAGGUUUUUAAUGAGGCCACAAGUUACUUCUCCUAUCUCCUAGAUGAUUGAUCUUGGUCUGUCCACAUGAAGACCUUAUGUUAUAUAAUUUUAUCUAAGUUUUUAUGCUAUGUUUUUAUUUUCGAAAACUCUAGUCUUUGUUGUGUUUCCAAGGGAGCCUUGUCUUUAUUUUCUUUGUAUUUUCGAGACCUUGUGCAUGUACAAGGCUUCUCCUUUAUAUUCUGGUCGUGGCCCCUUGUAUCAGUAUCCAUCUUUUUAUCAAAAACCUUUGUUUUCUCUUUUCUUCUUGCUUGUCGAGUUGAUUGAGUGUUGGUGUGUAAUAUCCAACUUCUGGUGUGUAAUAUCCAGAGACUAAGGGCUCUAGUUUGGUGUGUCAUAUCCGAUCUAUUGCCUAGGAGUAUCAAGGAGCCUUUCCGCAGCCUCUUGUGUCACCAUUCGAUCCACAUACCUUGAGAAGCUUGAGUCUUUUGAUUCGUUUCUGCAAGGAUUAUCCCAUCUGUUCCAGAGCAUCAUCCUAGGAUCUCAUUAAGUGGUAUCAGAGCAACUCUGGAAGGGAAGUGUUCAUCUUUCUCUAUGAUUUUCGAUUCGUCUCUUCAUAUUCAUGCUGGAAACUGAUAGAUCUGUGUUGUGGCUGUCGAAAUCUGAUAGAUUAAGGUUAUCUGAUUUCGUUUUUGUGUUAAAAACUCUUCAUAUACCUUGCUGAGAAAGUUUUCUGAUUUACUUGAUCAAUCUGUUUCUGUUUCUGAAAUUUCGAAUUGUUUCUGUCUUGAUCUACUCUGUUUUGAUUAAACUUGAUGUACUGGACUUGAAAGUGAACCUGAAAUCAAAAUCUCUCUGUUCUGUUUCGAAAUCAAUCUGAUCUGUUAGGUUUGGGAUUUAUCAGUUCUGUUCAGAUUAGUUUUGAUCUGUUUUAAAUCAUUGGUUGAGUUUUUAAUUUGUUCUGAGAAUUGUCUAAGGUUUUAAGCUUCAGUUUGAAUCUGUUUCUGGUUUUGCAAAUUGAUUUUUGUUUUCUCUGUAGAACUUGUUACUGCUGUGUGUUGUUUUCUGUCUCAGGUACUAUGGCAGGAGAUCAGAACGGAAAGCUCACUAAGGAAGAAAGGCUGUUACUUAAAUCUAUGAAUGCUCAUCUGCAGCAGAUGAUGGAUAACAACAUGGGUGAAUUUCAAAAGGAGCUUAGACAAAAGUUUCUGCAGCAAACUGAUGAUCUUAGGCAGAAAAAUAAAAAGAGAAUGGACAGUCAAAAGCUUGAGCCAAGAUCACCCGAUUCUGUUCAAAACAAGUCAAGCAAGCAUAAGUGGUAUAAGGAAGAGGAAGCAGGACGUGGACAACAGUCUUACAAACAGACAGGCCACACUUCGAGCAGACCACAUCAAGCUUCUCGCACUCCUAAAUCAAAUAUUCAUUCUUCUUACAAUCAAAUUGUCACUAAGCCUCAACUUUAUGUUUUUACAGGGGAAGGUGAUUAUUUAAAGUGGGAAAGAACAAUGGAGAAGUGGCUUUGCUACAACAAAAUCCUGAAGAGAGAAGCAUUGGCUUAUGUGAUGUCUCAGCUCAAAGGAAACGUUUUUAAGUGGUUGUUGCAAGAAGAAGAUGAUCGCAGGUACUACAAGGAACCAGCUAUCACCACUUGGGAAGAUCUGAAGUUGCUACUAAGGAAGAAGUAUGCAUCCAAAGGCCACACUUCUCUGAAAUCUCCAAAGAAGAAAGUCAUAUCCGCAACAGACUUCAAAAGUGAAAAAUCAGAAACCAAGAUGGCUGAUUAUGAGAAAGAAAUCAGCAGCCUUGUUAAGGAGAUUCUUAAGACCAGCAAGCACUUGGACAAGCAGAAGAAGCUCCCAAAGAAUCAAGAACCAGUUGCUACUGUCUCAGAACUCAAUGAUGCAGAACCAGACUCAGCUGCCCCAAUUCAAGAAGCUCAAACCAAAACAUCUAUGGGAAAAGGAAAGUUUGAGAAAGAACAAGAGUUUUCUCUGUUCUUACCUCACUCUGAAUCUAAUUUUGAUAAUUCCUUUGAUGAACUAACUUGUCUUGAACCGGUGCAACCGAGUAGAAUUGUUUCAGUGUCACAGGUUGCAAAAGAAGACUCAGCAGAAAAAGAACCAGAGAGUACAACACAAGAGGAACAACAGAAAAACUUGCAGACAGAAUCAGCUCAUGAAUCUUUGUCUUAUGAUCUGCAAGAGCACUGUAAGGAGUUUAAUAUGGUUGCUUCUGUGCCUAGAAUGUUUGUUAAAGUGAGUACUGAAGACAUAAAACGUUUUGGUCUUGAUAAAGUAAAAGAUUUUUGUGUUUCAAAUUCUGUUUUUGAUAACAUGUUUAAAUCUUUUAAAGAACUUAAACCAGAAAUCAUCUUUGAUCAAAAACGUUUUCAAAAUCAAAAUAAUAACAUUUCUGGUCAUAUUCUGAGUUUUGAUCAUUUUCUGAAACAUGGCAAAAGUUUUGAUCAUUUUGAAAAGGUUUUAGAGCUUGAAUUGAAACAAUCUGAUUUCUGUUUGAAACCUUGUGAUUCAUUUGUUAGAACUGAAGAAAGAAGUUUUGUUACGAACUUCCAUGUGCAUAAACUGAUCCUUGAUAAUUCUUUUGUUUCUGCUUAUGAAUUGAAUGAACCUAAGAAGUUGCAGGAACCGAAAUUGCAUCAAUCUGAUUUUAGAUUUAAAUUUGUGAAAUCUGAAAAGUUCUCUAAGUUUGAGCUUGAUAAUGAUUCUAAACAUGUAGGUUGGUUCUUUGAUGAUAUUCUAGUGUAUAACACUUUCUUUGAUAAACCUGCUGCACAAUUGAAACUAGAUAUCACUGAUUCUGAAUGUGUGAACUUGAACCUUAAUGAUAUUUGGGUCUACAAUACUUCCUUUGAUAUGAUAACACACUUGACUUGUCCAAAAAGAGCUGAGAAGUGUACAGGUAAAAAGAGGGGCUAUACUGAUGAGUCCUUGGCUAAGCUGGAGAUGCAACAAUCAAAUCUUGGAAGCUGUCUAGCCGUCAACUUUGACAUAGGAGCAGUCCGAGGAUCAUAUCUCAGCAACCAGAAGGAAUUAAGCAACAAACUCAACUGCUAUGGAAACUACACUCAUCAGGGUCUCACGUCGAAUUGGAAUCUUGUCGAAAGCUUCUCUUUUGAAAGAGUUAUGGAUUCUACAAGUCGGGUGAUUCUGUGUUUGCUUUGUUUGAAUUUUUCUGAGUAUAGAAACAUCUCAAUCAUAUAUAUGGCGACCAGGUGAGCAUGCUAAGGUAACCAAUCAUGUUUUCAAGAGUUCUUUUAUUGAUUACACAGAUAUGAUGCACUUGUUUUUGUCAAAAGAGUCAUGUGCAGAUUAUAUGGAAGCUUUGAAGCAUGCAAAGACAAAGAACAAGCGUGAGGAAGACAAACGUUUCAAGCCGCCUGAUCUAAGCCAGGAGAGACAUCAGGACGUCACUUGCUUCAUCCUCAUCAAAGAAGCACCUCCAGAUGCAACAUACAAGCCAAAACCGAGAAAAUAUAACUUUGGGAUAAGAAUCUUGCUCUAUGAUGAUUUUGCUUGUGUUAACUUGUCUUGUUUCAAUGUAUCAGGUUUAAGUAAUGCCUCAGGAGUGAGGAAAGUCAAAUGGAACAGUCCCUUCUACCUAAUAGAAGCAGUCAGCGACAAUGCCUAUCAAAGAGGCUUGCAAGGUAAGUGUAAUCUGAUUAUAAACUCUGAUGUUACUGACUUGGUCCCUUCUAUUGCAGGUAACACAGAUUUGAGGACAAAUCUUUUUGAAGUGGGAGGGGAUGAUGUGAUCAUGGAAAGCACCAAGAAAUGGAAUCAUGAACCUGAUCAUGGAGAGCUUGUAGCUGUUGAAGAACCUACACUUGAAGAAUGUCUGAGCCGAAAUAAAGCUUCUAUCAUCAAAGACAACUUGAUCUACAUUCAAGCUACUCUACACUCAAGCUGAUCAUCAUCUAGGCAAGUAGCUUGUGUGUACUCUUUUUCCCUUGAUUGGUUUUGUCCCACUGGGUUUUCCAAUCAAGGUUUUUAAUGAGGCCACAAGUUACUUCUCUUACCUCCUAGAUGAUUGAUCUUGGUCUGUCCACAUGAAGACCUUAUGUUAUAUAAUUUUAUCUAAGUUUUUAUGCUAUGUUUUUAUUUUCGAAAACUCUAGUCUUUGUUGUGUUUCCAAGGGAGCCUUGUCUUUAUUUUCCUUGUAUUUUCGAGACCUUGUGCAUGUACAAG
rnacentral:lncRNA from 1 species